GGAUAAGACAGAAUCUUGCUGUGACAACUGUCACCCUAUUGAUGGCCAGUGUUGAUUUGGCUGAGCUGAUCUGGAGGAGGGUGUCACCUUUCCCCCUCACCACUUCAUGUGCACCCCUCCCAAAGCUUCAUGCUCGGUCUAAGAGGACAACCUUCCCCAAUAGAGGACUGUUCUUUAGUCAAGGGUAUAUGACUAGCUGCAUUUCCCUGCUAGAACCUCCAAACAAGCUCUAAAAUAUCAGUCAGGCAGCACCAGGUACCUUUCGAACUGAAGAGGAGGCUU
rnacentral:sRNA from 1 species